UGAGGAAUAUUGGUCAAUGGACGCAAGUCUGAACCAGCCAUGCCGCGUGAAGGAUGAAGGCGUUCUGCGUUGUAAACUUCUUUUAUCUGGGAAGAAACCUCAGUUUUCUAAUUGAGCCGACGGUACCAGAGGAAUAAGCACCGGCUAACUCCGUGCCAGCAGCCGCGGUAAUACGGAGGGUGCAAGCGUUAUCCGGAUUCACUGGGUUUAAAGGGUGUGUAGGCGGAUAUUUAAGUCAGUGGUGAAAUCUCCAGGCUCAACCUGGAAACUGCCAUUGAUACUAUUUAUCUUGAAUAUCGUUGAGGUAGGCGGAAUAUGUCAUGUAGCGGUGAAAUGCUUAGAGAUGACAUAGAACACCAAUUGCGAAGGCAGCUUACUAAACGAUUAUUGACGCUGAGGCACGAAAGCGUGGGGAUCAAACAG
rnacentral:rRNA from 1 species